GAUGAACGCUGGCGGCGUGCCUAAUACAUGCAAGUCGAGCGAACAGACGAGGAGCUUGCUCCUCUGACGUUAGCGGCGGACGGGUGAGUAACACGUGGAUAACCUACCUAUAAGACUGGGAUAACUUCGGGAAACCGGAGCUAAUACCGGAUAAUAUAUUGAACCGCAUGGUUCAAUAGUGAAAGACGGUUUUGCUGUCACUUAUAGAUGGAUCCGCGCCGCAUUAGCUAGUUGGUAAGGUAACGGCUUACCAAGGCAACGAUGCGUAGCCGACCUGAGAGGGUGAUCGGCCACACUGGAACUGAGACACGGUCCAGACUCCUACGGGAGGCAGCAGUAGGGAAUCUUCCGCAAUGGGCGAAAGCCUGACGGAGCAACGCCGCGUGAGUGAGGAAGGUCUUCGGAUCGUAAAACUCUGUUAGUAGGGAAGAACAAAUGUGUAAGUAACUAUGCACGUCUUGACGGUACCUAAACAGAAAGCAACGGCUAACUACGUG
rnacentral:rRNA from 1 species